UUUCUUGAGCUUGUUCUUUGUUGAAUUGGACUAGUUUAUUUAACAUGGUGUCAGAGUCAAGUUCAUAUGUUGGGCCCUGAGAUAUAUUGUUCACGCAUCCAGUACCGAACACACGAAUCAUGUCGGGGCGUGCUUGAGUGAUGAAUGAAUGGAGGAAUCCCUAAUUUGCUCAGCAGAAUCACAAGGUGAAGUAUAGGCAUGUCGAGCAUUUCAUAUUAAUGAUAUGAAGAAAGGCAAUGAGUCAGCUAAAUGUCACCCCUAGAAUAGCUAGCUUGUUGGAGGCUUCUAUACAAAUCCUUGGUAUUGUUAAGAAAAUGAUAUCACGGAUCUAAUUCGACUACAAAGGUAGCUCAUGAGUUGAUUAUCUUCUAAGAUCAUAUAACGAGACAACAACUCACAACUCAUGAGACCCCAUGGAUAACUGGAGAGUAGUUAGUUCUAACGUGGCGUGAACAUUGAGCAACACAACAACGUAACAUCGAUGGAUAUGUUGCCUUAGGAACCAUUUAUCUGAUGAGUUGACACAUGAAUUUUGAGUGCAACAUUUACAUCCAGUUUUUAGCAGGGCUAGCUUGGGAUGAUCAAAUGCUGAAGUAAAGGGAUAUAUUUCAUCAUGCGUUGAUUCACAUAUGACAAGGGCUCAUUCGGGGGUGAUGCUACCAAGAGAAUUUUCUCUAUACCCCGGGCUUGAACCCAGCCGAGACCUCUGAUUAAAGGGUUGGAAGAUGUUCUUUUUCCCACUUCACCCGAUCAAUUGUGUUCUUACUUAAACUUCAACAUGAUUCAAACCCUCAACUUAUCGGUUGAUAGUUAGAGGUGCUCAAUCGCUAAAGCAAACCACACUCGUAUUGGCUUGGACGAUUGAAGAUAAUAAUUACCAACAUUUGAACACAAGAAAGUACUCCCUCCGUCUCUAAAUAAGUGUCAUCUAAUUAGCUAGGAAAGAAAAAUGCCCCAAGUUCCAGAUCCUAAGAGUCAACUUUCCCGUAUGAGCAUUUGGUACGUGUAUUCAUGAGUGCUGUUUUUGGCCUUGGAGGAUUAAGGUCAAAUGAAACGUUUCAUUUUCUUUUUCUUGCUAAUUAUAUGACAAUUUACAUGUCAAAUAUAUAUUAAUUUAUGAACUGAAGAAAGUGUUAAAUUUUUCAAAAGAA